rnacentral:rRNA from 1 species
UACAGAGGAUGCAAGCGUUAUCCGGAUUUAUUGGGUUUAAAGGGUGCGUAGGCGGCCUGUUAAGUCAGAGGUGAAAGACGGUAGCUCAACUAUCGCAGUGCCUUUGAUACUGACGGGCUUGAAUAAACUAGAGGUAGGCGGAAUGAGACAAGUAGCGGUGAAAUGCAUAGAUAUGUCUCAGAACACCGAUUGCGAAGGCAGCUUACUAUGGUUUUAUUGACGCUGAGGCACGAAAGCGUGGGGAUCAAACAGG